rnacentral:misc_RNA from 1 species
UUGCUUUAUUUAUAUUUUGACUCAGAAGUAAUACACGAUUCAUUCAAGAGUUUAAAUUGGGCUAUCGACGAACGCGGGCCAGAGGACUAUUGAGAGUCCUCCGGCGGUCCUUUCGGACGGGUCCGCCGAAGCAACAUGAGUUUGGUAAACACAGGGUUGGGAGGUCGGGCCGGUGACGACCCUCACUCUUUAAUGAUCUUUCCGCAGGUUCACUAUAAAACAGUUAGCAUAUAUACUUUGAAUGAUGGAAUGGUGGAAAGAAGCUCUAAGAGCUCCUUUCCGGAGAGGAGACGUACCCUACGGAAA